GUCGUUGGAGAAGGGGUCGAAGGGCGGCUGUGUUGGCUGUCGUGGUGACCGCCACGUCGUAAGGCGCCCUUUAAGCGGUCCUUGAGAAAGUGACACGUCUGCUUAUGGAUCUGGUGCAGAGGUCCCUCCCGGCUUUGUUCCCGAAAGCGGUCAGGCGUGCCCAUGAGGUGACGCGGCAGCAGCCCGGCGGGGAAGCCCUUGAAGGGGCUGCUCGUUGUGUUUCGCUGCCCGUAAAUGCGGGUAAGCAGCGCCGUCCAUUUUGGGCCGUCAGAGCUGAGUGACUAGAGUUACUGUUUGUGCUGUAAAAUCUAGCAGUGGCGGCGUGUACAUCUUGUGUAUCUGAGUGAUGCAACACGCGAGCAAGAAGGAGAUUACAUGGUGAAAGACUAAAAGCUUUCUUAUUUUCAAGGAGAGACUCGGUCAUUUUUGUAGGACUACGCCUACCUGUAGCACCCGGAACGUCUUCGCGUUCCCAGACGAAGCGGCAUCAGUUUCUGGAGAGCUGCCACAGGUAGCUGGGCGAUGCCCGCCGCUCCGCCUGGCGCUGCGCUGUGAGGCAGCAGCGCUUUGCACCCGCUAGACUUUGUCACGGCAGUGCGUGCAGUAGAAGCAUUCCUCCUGCUAACAGCUGUGAGAGCGAGACACCAUUUCGUAACUCGGUUACAAAAGCUGGAGAGCUCAAAUAUUUUCACACAGAGAGGUAAACAGUGCAAGAACCCGGCAGAAAAUAACACUUAGCGAUGCUUAGCGUUUUCAUAAAGCUCUGCGUUUUCAACACCUGUAAUGGCCAGGUGUUUAAUCUUCUGCCUUUUGAGCCUGUUUGUAAUGACAGCCUUUGUGAGCAAACAGGGUGAAGUUCUCGCCAGCUAAGGACCCGCAAUUGAAAUUCAUGGGUUGCUCUGAAAGUGACUCCUAUUUCCAUGGAAACUCCAACAGAUCCAAAGAGCAUAAUAACACUAUUUGAUAGGGCACGUUCUCAGCUACAAAACAGUAUUUUUCAGGAGUCGCUACCAUUAGCUAUGUGUUUUUUGCCAGUAAUGAACAAAAGUCUGCGUGCCACACACAUAGCUAUCUGUACCAGUGGAGGUGACCCACUGUGAGCACUGCUGAAGCGCACCAGCCAAAGCCUCCCUGCACUCACAUCCACUGUUUGGUCUUCAUAAACAUUCAGCCAGCAUCAAUGAAUGUGCAAUUUCUUUUCUGCGUGGAGGAGUUCAACUACAGACCUUCGGUUACAUCAUGGGCCAACAUAAUAAAGUGCUCUGAGUAUGGAAGAGCCAUUUUGGAGACUGAAUAAGGCCAUUGCUACACAUAGCAAACAAAUGCAUUUCCAAUGCAGUGACAUCACUGUGGAGCUGCAAGAGAGAAACAUUGAAUUCUGAGACUUACUGCAGGUGCUACAGGAACAAGGAAUAAGAAACUUUAUGUCAAGUUUAUGGAAACAGAUGGAGCUGAAAGUUUAUAGCAAACCUGACAGAAGUGAGUGGUCGUGCAGGAUAAACUGAAGAAAUAAUUGUUCCUGGCAAACUCAAGAAGAUGGCUGUUCACUGCAAGCACAUUUCUAAGAUCAUUGCCUAUGAAAAAUCAGAAGUUCUGUUUCCACUAUUAGAGACAUAAGUAAUUUUAAGAAGCCCAUUUGGAGACAUCACCAUAGAUAUGUAAAAAUGAUUUGCAAACUAUAGUGGAACUGCUAAGUCACGGCCUAAAGCAGUGAUUGAGUACCUGGUGGGAAGGCAGGGCCAACCCAGGGCAGCUCAGGUGCAUGCAAUGUACCUGAGUGAGCAGAAGGCCUGGAGCCAGGAUGCACCCCUUGCCAGACCUCAUUUAAGAAACAAAUGGAAGAAAUGUUAACAAAACCAAUAUGGGUUGUAUUAAUCAGUGGCAAAGGAAGAGCACUGAAUCCUUUCUGUACUGGGGGCCCUGUGCUUGGAUGCACUACUCCAGAGGAGACCUCCGGAAGGCAGAGUAGAAGGGGGCAAUCUGUUUCCUCUCCCUGCUGGCCACCCCUCUUUUGAUGCAUCCCGGAUACUGUUGGCCUUGCAAGAUACAAGUGCGCACCGCUGGCUCAUGUCCAGCUUUUCAUCCAUCAGGACCUCUAAGUCUUUUGCUGCAGGGCUGCUCUCAGUAAGUAAGUAUGCUGUUGUACUCUCCUCUUGCCUGACAAUGCAUAGUGUUAUCUAUUCUACUUCAGUUCCUGCUUCCUUCAGUCUGAGGAGAAGGACAUAUGGAAUUGGAUUUUUUUUUGUCUUCUACCUAGAAAGAUUUGUGUAUAAGCCUUACAUAUGUUUGUGUAUAGAACAAGAAGUUAUGUGAAAUUCAGUGAUUUAUGCAGGAAAGUAGGAAGUAAAAUCUGAAUAAUUUCAGCCUAUGUUUUUCUGUUCAGAAUUCUUGUUGACUUUAGAGGAAUGUGAGAUUAGUCUAUUUUCAGAAUAGAAUACAAUUCUCCACAUUAAGUAUCUGCCGGAAUGAUUGGAUAUUGGACUUUUGCAUCAUACUAGAUGUUGUCAUUUUACUAUGAUAUUGGUUUCUAGUCUUGUGUUUUGCGACAGGGAUAUUGGUUAUGAUUAUAUGUGACAUAUUUUAAAGGACAUGUUUAAUAACUAUGCUCAGAAUAGCAGUAUCUGAAGAUUGCUGCCAUGUAUGGCACCCUUGUUGUGAGUCUGAAUAAAACUAAUUUUUUAUUUCACAGACACAAAGUAUUCUCAGCAUUGUAAAAAAAAAAUAAAAAAAAUAAAAAACUGCUUGCAAGCCAAGAACAUAACCUAGUCAAGAAGUACAAUAAAGGAUAUUAAAUAACCUUUCAGAUAUUUCUCCUUACCUCUCAGUUAAAAGGGAAGUAAUUUUCAAGACAGUAGGGUUUUACAGAGGAAGAAAUAUACACUAGUGAGGCUUCAAAAAGUGAUGAAACUGCUUAAAAGGACCAGAAGGUGGCAGUACUCCAUGCGUCGCUGAAUUCCUAGCGCCCUCUGAGCUAUCCAGUGUUCAUUCUGAAGUGCUUGACAUCUACUUAUCUUCAGAUGUAUCCAAGGGAACUGUGCCCUUAAAAUAAUAACUUCCCUUUCUGGCUACGUUUGCUUUUCAUGUAUUUCGUGGAAGUGCACAAUAUGUAAAAUAAAGUAUUUCAAGAGGUCUGAAAAAUGUGCUUGACCAAUUCCCUUUCUACUCACAGGCAUUCCUGCAGACUGCUGACUCUGUCUCUUGCUAUGGUCUCAUGUGGCUUGUUGAUAAAUCACAGAAGUCUGCCAGUUAUACGUGUAGCUUAAUUCAUGUCAGGUGAUCUGAAGUAAAAUUUAUCAAGGCUGAGAUUUACUUGAUCCUUUUACUUAAGAAAAAUCUUGGAUACUGGUAAUGUAAAAUAGUUCUGUAUUUAGAGAAGUAUCUCCAAGACACAAUUUGAACAGGCUUCUUUAUACUUUGAGCAGUCAUUUUCAACAGAAGUAAAACUGUGGGUGUUAAGAUGGAAGUAGCUGUGUUUUAUCCCCCCUGACAACUAUCCUCCUGUUUGUCCAUCAGACCAAAUCCAGCUAAUAAUGGAUCCCUUUUUCCAAUUUCAAAAACAACUGAAGGGUCCUUGCUGUAAACAGGGGAUGGUUAUGGUGUAUGGUGAUGUAUGGUAUUCUGUAAUUCUAAAUGAACACGAUACGUUUAUUAGUGACUGUUGUUGCAGUAAUAGGGUUGUAUGUGUGGUACUGUAUUUUGCACAGUGCUGCUCUGACCAUAACUGUGCCUCUGACCAUGUUACAUUCGCUUUUCUCUGUUCCUUCUUCCUUUGGCCUUCUCACAGUGUUGGGAUUGUUAUCCUUGCGGUUGUCUUGCUUUUAUGUUUUCUUUCCUUUCCUUAUUGCCAACAGUGUUGCUGUUUUUUCCUAGUAAAGGACCAGAAGAGAAGUGAGCCACCAUGCAUUCAGUGCAAGUGGAGGUCUGUGUGUUCAA